rnacentral:rRNA from 1 species
UACGUAGGGUGCAAGCGUUAAUCGGAAUUACUGGGCGUAAAGCGUGCGCAGGCGGUGAUGUAAGACAGGUGUGAAAUCCCCGGGCUUAACCUGGGAACUGCAUUUGUGACUGCAUCGCUGGAGUGCGGCAGAGGGGGAUGGAAUUCCGCGUGUAGCAGUGAAAUGCGUAGAUAUGCGGAGGAACACCGAUGGCGAAGGCAAUCCCCUGGGCCUGCACUGACGCUCAUGCCACGAAAGCGUGGGGAGCAAACAGG